rnacentral:misc_RNA from 1 species
UUUCUGUAGGUGAACCUGCGGAAGGAUCAUUAUCGUACAAAAUGUGAGGGGCAUUCGAGGGCUGUCGCUCACCCAAAAGUCGUGCACUCCCGAGUGUGUCCUCUUCCAUAAUAAUCCAUCUCACCCUUUGUGCAUCACCGCGUGGGAACCCUUCGGGAUCAUCUCGGAGGGGGGCUCGCGUUUUCACACAAAACCCCCUUUUAAACGUGUAGAAUGACCACAUUUAUGCAAUCAAUACAACUUUCAACAACGGAUCUCUUGGCUCUC